AGAAUUUUAAGUUAUUUUAAACUAGAAGCCUUCAAAGCUUAAAAAAAAAGACAAUCUUUUAAAUUCUA
rnacentral:tRNA from 1 species